AAUCAGCAGAAAAUCUCUCAGAAUGUUCGGGUGAAGAAAAUACACUCAGAUAUCAUGACGAAAAACUCGGAAAAGCAUCCGAUCUAGGUCAGAAGCAUCAUUGACCAUAAGGUCUCAGAAAAAUCCCCAAAAAAUCUCAAAAAGAGUUCAACCAAGACAACGAGAUGUAGAGAAAAGUAGUUGGAUCGUCGUCUAGGCUCUGAUACCAUGUUAACAUUCAGAUUAAACCAAAAAAUCAUGAAGAAUGUAGAGAGAAGGAGGAGCGUUUCAGAGAAGGCUCGGGAAUCCAGAGAGUUUUAUUAAGUGAAAUGAGAUUAAAA
rnacentral:lncRNA from 1 species